CGGAAAAUAAGGGAAAAAGCGUUGUUGCUUUAUUCCCGUACUGUCAUCUACCUGCUUUUCAGCUCUCCCCUCUUCUUGUGUCUCCCCCACUACAUCCCUCCCUGUUUCUCAUCACCCCGCCUCUCUCUUCUCGUCCCCAUCCUCCCCUGUUCCUGUUCUUCUGUCCGGGGAAGACCUUCCAGAUGUCAUCACCCCCAGCAGCAGAGAUGUCUCCUCCCCACCAGGACGGUCAUCAGAUGUCGGUGAGCAGAGCAGCUCAGGGAUCUCAGAGGACACCACCCUGCCUGAUGAGGAUGUACAGGGGAAUCAAAUGUAGGUAACAAGUAGCAUUAAGUUCACCGCCGGUGAAAUUAUGCCAAAAAUGAGUCAUUCAUGUUUGUAAGUUCUCAAUUUGCAUUCCUGCUUCUUUAGAGAAUAAACAUGAAUACAAGCAGCCUCUGUUUGGGGCCGCUGAUGCCUUCACCCCCUUAUAGUCCAUUGUUUAAGGGGUUCUGGUUAUAUUUGUAGAGAUUUACACUUUCCCAAACUUUGGUUGUCUCUACUUUAAAACCUAAUCAUCACGACUAUAUACUCCGGGCUGGUACAUUGUAGGGUGGACAACUGAUUUUGUCGCAAGGGAAACAUGGUAAUCUACCUCGUUCGCACCGGUCAUUGUACAUCUUGUAUUGGAAAACUUUAUUAAGCAUUACGAAUCCAAACACGGAUCCUUCGAGGAAAAGUAUCCUCAGAAGUAAGAGCGUGGAAAAUAUCCGAGUUGAGAGCUCAGUAUGAGAGGUCUACGCGUGUCUUCACACACUCAUUUGCAGGCCAGCAACUUGCAAAUGAAUGCUCACUUAAAGGUUGGGUAUGGAAUUCGCUUUUUUGGCCAUUUUUGCAGAAUUCCUUGAAAUCCUUAUCAUAACCCACUUACAGCCACUGAGUUAGAAGUACUGACAUGCAAAUUAAACAAGUCAAUCAUCUGUGGAACGGGCAGGGCUCGAAAAACUCCAGCCAAUGAUUUCCACAGCCACCGAGUUGCAUUGGACAGUAAGUACGUCAAUCAAACGGUCGUACUGCACUCCCCCUCCCCCGCGCCCCGCGCGCGCAGUACUCGUGACCCAGAGCUCGUGACCCAGAGCAAGCUCCUGUUUGUUGUUAUCCUGCGGUAGCUACUGGAACUAGUUAAUCCAAAUUUGGACCUAGCAGUAGAAGACAAUUUUUUGAUAAUAAAUUGAUAAUAAAAACGCUGAAAGAGAAAAACUGAAAUCAAGAAUAAUCCUAGGCGCUGCUUUCGAACAUUGGCGGCAACUGAAGGACGAGAAGAGUCUAAAAACCGAUGCUUGUGUGGCGGUUGACCUAUUUUCAAAGUUUAUACCGUUUAUACUCGGUAAUACCGGUGUUGAGACGAGUGUAUUACUCGGUGUGAAAAUGUCCACGCGGCAACCCUAGUGAAAACCAGGACUUCCAAUACAAUAUGAAACAAACAUACAUUUUCUAAAAAUAGUAAUGAUUUAUGUGACCGUUUAAUGUUUAUAACAUCUGGUGCAACCAUAGCCGCGGGAACGUUCUCAGGAGGGGCUGCUGGAAAAAAAAAACUCAGCCUGCACUAGAUUCGCAACUCGUUACAUUGAUAAAAAAGAUAUAUAGCAGCGCAGCUUCCUACUUCCUUCACACCAUGGUUCACAUCCAGCUGCUCACAGAACAAGUUUAGCGCACCACCGCUCCCCUCACACUUUUUCAUAUAACCUUUUUUCAGCACUAG
ensembl:lncRNA